GCUGUUGUUUACAUUUUUUUUCAACAUGGACGCCAAAAAGCGGUCGCACGCUGACAGUACUUGUGAUUCUCAUCUCCUACAAGACGAUGUCACUGAAAACCAGACUUCUUCUGUCGCAAACGAUUCUUUUCCAAGCAACACUACUGAUUGGAAGCGCUGUCACAUAGAAAAACUUGAUGUUCCUGUCGAUUUGAAGAGUUUCAACAACAGCUAGAACUCCUUCUAUGGGACAGAACACCAAGCGAUCAGAUUUCUCCCUCGUGUUUCCAAACCUUGUUCCAGGGCCUUCUGAGUAUAUUUGGCAUUGUAUCCAGACGUCAACCAGAUAUAGCUGCAAAGAAAACAAGAGUUAAGGGAAGGGAUAUUUCCUCAGCCCCAGAUGUAAUAUGUUAUGGCAUAGAAGGAAAUAUUUCAUGUAUUGUCAAGGUUGACAAGAGCAGAAAAUGUUCCGAUUUGGAUGGUAUUCCACACAGUAAGAAAUCUCGUCAAGAUGAAUCACCCGGGAGGGACAAGUGUAUUUCUGACUGUUUUGCUCAACACACUGGGGAUCUUUUAGCCUUCAGUGAAAGUUCUAUAUCACAUAUGGAUAUUUGUGGUAGAGCUGGCAGAGAUAUUCUAGGGUUUAUUGUGGAAAAUACUCAUGUAACUGUCACUCAUCUACAAAUAUCCAGACUUAGUUUGGAGAGAAUUCAGAACUCCACUGGAGAGGGACCGGUGAAACACGAGGAGAAACCACUGCUUCACUACAGUCGGCCAUUUAAUUAUCUCAAGAAGUCAGACCGACAAGAACUGUUUAAAGCCAUUCUACACGUAAGACUAAUGCUCUCCAUUCAUGAAAAAGUCACUACACAAAGAAGAAAUGCAGGGACUGUUGAUAUUUUUCGAAGGAGAGGCUGUGAACAUUGUUGAUGUGUAUGUUUAAACUUUUGUGAAAACAUUUUUAAUUUUAAAGCUGCUUGGUCCGAUUUUAUAUCUAUUUUUUUUGCACGCUUUUAAACGAUGGUUAUUAUAAGUAUAUGUAUAAUAAUAGACAUUGCAGUUAUUUUUCCCAGUCAAUUAAACCAAAUUUCAAUGAAGAAAAAUACGUACAAAAUUUGCUAACAAAACAAACGACGUAAAAGGGUACUGCGUUAUUUCGCCUCAUGUUAAAGUUCACCCCUGACGACGACACGGGUAUGGUUGUAUUAGGACUUUAACAUCGCAUUACAUAAAGGUUGAAAUGAUUAGACAAAUUACAAAUAAACAUGUGUACGUUUUGUUCACUAAUAUUUUUGAAGUUUGCUUUCUUUAAAAUCGAUGCAUAGCACGCAGGUUGAAUAACCCCAAACAUUCGGGGGACGAAACCAAAUGGUUUCCUUUUCUAAACAUUCCCGUGAUGCACUUUGGUUUGUUUUUUCGUUUGCCCAAAAAGAAAUUAUUUUCAUUUACUUUGAAUGUUUCUAACUUUGAAAGGAGACUGAUUCUGCUGGUGUAAAUAGGAGAAAGUCCAUAAUUUUCUAAGAUGAAUGGUUUGUAUAGAAAACAUUUUGAUACUGUAAUAACAAAAAAAUCGGACCAAGCAGCUUUAAACAUAAAAGUACAUGUACCAGAUGUAUCUAUUGAUAGCGUUGUAUCAAUUUACAUAUUGUCUGUUUGCUUAUGUAUCAUGUGAAAGUGCAAUGACAUUUGAGAUUGAAUUUGAAAUGAAAUCAUUCUUAACAUAGAUAGGCAUUUUGUUUAUCUUCAGUACAUGCUUUUGAAUCUCUUUAUUUAUAUGUUGUUAUCAAUAUUAAAAUGAAUAAAUAUGAUUGUUCUCA
rnacentral:misc_RNA from 1 species